UACGAAGGGGGCAAGCGUUGUUCGGAAUUACUGGGCGUAAAGGGCGCGUAGGCGGCUUACCAAGUCAGGUGUGAAAGCCCCCGGCUCAACCGGGGAACAGCAUUUGAUACUGGCAGACUCGAGGAUGGUAGGGGUGAGUGGAACUCCAGGUGGAGCGGUGAAAUGCGUAGAUAUCUGGAGGAACACCGGUGGCGAAGGCGGCAUCCUGGACCGGCAUUGACGCUGAGGAGCGAAAGCCAGGGGGAGCAAAACGGG
rnacentral:rRNA from 1 species